UUUUCCCUGUGGAAAUAUGUUCACCGGAUUGGAGUUAAACAGGAGAUACGGGGAUAUCCAACCUUUGGUCUCCUGGCAAGGGUUGGAUGUCCAGUUGGUGGGGAUAUCAUCCAACAGAAGAACAAAGGCAGUGACUGUGUGUAUGAAAGAGAAAAGCAGUAACUGGAGUAACUGCAGACUCAGGAGUUUGAAGAUGCACCUGCAAACAUAAAGAGAAUCUACUCUGUUUCCCAGAUGGUUGUAUAAGAGGACUUAGGAGACACUGAGAUCAGUCCUUCUCUGUCAUCGGAAUGUAGCAAAGUCAUUACACGAUAGAGGAGGUAAGAACAUCAAGUACAAACCUGUCCCUGAUCUUGCUUCUUCCUAUCAUCUGGCCCUGGCAAGUUCA